AGCGAACGCUGGCGGCAGGCCUAACACAUGCAAGUCGAACGAAGUCUUCGGACUUAGUGGCAGACGGGUGAGUAACACGUGGGAACGUGCCUUUAGGUUCGGAAUAACUCAGGGAAACUUGUGCUAAUACCGAAUGUGCCCUUCGGGGGAAAGAUUUAUCGCCUUUAGAGCGGCCCGCGUCUGAUUAGCUAGUUGGUGAGGUAAAGGCUCACCAAGGCGACGAUCAGUAGCUGGUCUGAGAGGAUGAUCAGCCACAUUGGGACUGAGACACGGCCCAAACUCCUACGGGAGGCAGCAGUGGGGAAUCUUGCGCAAUGGGCGAAAGCCUGACGCAGCCAUGCCGCGUGAAUGAUGAAGGUCUUAGGAUUGUAAAAUUCUUUCACCGGGGACGAUAAUGACGGUACCCGGAGAAGAAGCCCCGGCUAACUUCGUGCCAGCCGCCGCCGUAA
rnacentral:rRNA from 1 species